rnacentral:lncRNA from 1 species
CCCUAUUCUCAAAUGCCCUUAUUCUCAAAUACCCCUAAUCUCAAAUGCCCUUAUUCUCAAAUGCCCCUAAUCUCAAAUACUCUUAUUCUCUAAUGCUCCUAAUCUCAUAUAUCCCUUUAAUCUCAAAUACCCUUUAUUUUCAAAUACCCCUAAACCCUAACCUGAAAUGCCCAUAAUCUCAAAUACCCUUAUUCUCAAAUAUCCUUAUUCUCAAAUACCCAUAAUCUAAAAUACCCCUAUUCUCAAAUGCCGCUAAUCUCAAAUACCCCUUUCAUCUCAAACACCCUUUAUUCUCAUAUACCCUUUAUCCUCAUAUACCCCUAAACCUAAAUCCUAAUCUCAAAUGCUCCUAAUCUCAAAUACCCUUAUUCUCAUAUACCCUAUAUUCUCAUAUACCCCUUAAAUCUCAAUUACCUUUUAUUCUAAUAUACCCUUUAUUCUCAUAUACCUCUAAUCUCAAAAUACAAAAUAUACCAACCUGGGUAUG